AAAUGAAUAGACGGGGGCCCGCACAAGCGGUGGAGCAUGUGGUUUAAUUCGAUGCAACGCGAAGAACCUUACCAGGAUUUGACAUCCCUUGACAGUUGUAGAGAUACAACCUCUCUUUUAGAGCAAGGAGACAGGUGGUGCAUGGUUGUCGUCAGCUCGUGUCGUGAGAUGUUGGGUUAAGUCCCGCAACGAGCGCAACCCCUAUUUUUAGUUGCCAUCAUUCAGUUGGGCACUCUAAAGAUACUGCCGGCUAAAAGUCGGAGGAAGGUGGGGAUGACGUCAAAUCAUCAUGCCCCUUAUGUCCUGGGCUACACACGUGCUACAAUGGCCUGUACAGAGGGCAGCAAAGUGGCGACAUGGAGCGAAUCUCAGAAAACAGGUCUCAGUUCGGAUUGUAGGCUGCAACUCGCCUACAUGAAGUCGGAAUCGCUAGUAAUCGCAGGUCAGCAUACUGCGGUGAAUACGUUCCCGGGCCUUGUACACACCGCCCGU
rnacentral:rRNA from 1 species